rnacentral:rRNA from 1 species
GACGAACGCUGGCGGCGUGCCUAAUACAUGCAAGUCGAACGCAGUGGGGACGGGUGAGUAACACGUGGGUAACCUCCCAUCAGAGGGGAUAACACUUGGAAACAGGUGCUAAACCGAUACUGAUGGAUGUACCCGCGGUGCAUUAGCUAGUUGGUGAGGUAACGGCUCACCAAGGCCACGAUGCAUAGCUGACCUGAGAGGGUGAUCUGCCACACUGGAACUGAGACACGGCCCAGACUCCAACGGAAGGCAGCAGUGGGGAAUAUUGGAAAAUGGGCGCAAGCCUGAUGCAGCCAUGCCGCGUGGGUGAAGAAGGCCUUCGGGUGGUAAAGCACUUUCAGCGGGGAGGCGUUACCCGCAGAAGAAGCACCGGCUAACUCCGUGCCAGCAGCCGCGGUAAUAC